rnacentral:rRNA from 1 species
ACGCUGGCGGCGUGCCUAAUACAUGCAAGUCGAACGAGUUCUCGUUGAUGAUCGGUGCUUGCACCGAGAUUCAACAUGGAACGAGUGGCGGACGGGUGAGUAACACGUGGGUAACCUGCCCUUAAGUGGGGGAUAACAUUUGGAAACAGAUGCUAAUACCGCAUAGAUCCAAGAACCGCAUGGUUCUUGGCUGAAAGAUGGCGUAAGCUAUCGCUUUUGGAUGGACCCGCGGCGUAUUAGCUAGUUGGUGAGGUAAUGGCUCACCAAGGCGAUGAUACGUAGCCGAACUGAGAGGUUGAUCGGCCACAUUGGGACUGAGACACGGCCCAAACUCCUACGGGAGGCAGCAGUAGGGAAUCUUCCACAAUGGACGCAAGUCUGAUGGAGCAACGCCGCGUGAGUGAAGAAGGCUUUCGGGUCGUAAAACUCUGUUGUUGGAGAAGAAUGGUCGGCAGAGUAACUGUUGUCGGCGUGACGGUAUCCAACCAGAAAGCCACGGCUAACUACGUGCCAGCAGCCGCGGUAAUACGUAGGUGGCAAGCGUUAUCCGGAUUUAUUGGGCGUAAAGCGAGCGCAGGCGGUUUUUUAAGUCUGAUGUGAAAGCCCUCGGCUUAACCGAGGAAGCGCAUCGGAAACUGGGAAACUUGAGUGCAGAAGAGGACAGUGGAACUCCAUGUGUAGCGGUGAAAUGCGUAGAUAUAUGGAAGAACACCAGUGGCGAAGGCGGCUGUCUGGUCUGUAACUGACGCUGAGGCUCGAAAGCAUGGGUAGCGAACAGGAUUAGAUACCCUGGUAGUCCAUGCCGUAAACGAUGAAUGCUAGGUGUUGGAGGGUUUCCGCCCUUCAGUGCCGCAGCUAACGCAUUAAGCAUUCCGCCUGGGGAGUACGACCGCAAGGUUGAAACUCAAAGGAAUUGACGGGGGCCCGCACAAGCGGUGGAGCAUGUGGUUUAAUUCGAAGCAACGCGAAGAACCUUACCAGGUCUUGACAUCUUUUGAUCACCUGAGAGAUCAGGUUUCCCCUUCGGGGGCAAAAUGACAGGUGGUGCAUGGUUGUCGUCAGCUCGUGUCGUGAGAUGUUGGGUUAAGUCCCGCAACGAGCGCAACCCUUAUGACUAGUUGCCAGCAUUUAGUUGGGCACUCUAGUAAGACUGCCGGUGACAAACCGGAGGAAGGUGGGGAUGACGUCAAAUCAUCAUGCCCCUUAUGACCUGGGCUACACACGUGCUACAAUGGAUGGUACAACGAGUUGCGAGACCGCGAGGUCAAGCUAAUCUCUUAAAGCCAUUCUCAGUUCGGACUGUAGGCUGCAACUCGCCUACACGAAGUCGGAAUCGCUAGUAAUCGCGGAUCAGCACGCCGCGGUGAAUACGUUCCCGGGCCUUGUACACACCGCCCGUCACACCAUGAGAGUUUGUAACACCCGAAGCCGGUGGCGUAACCCUUUUAGGGAGCGAGCCGUCUAAGGUGGGACAAAUGAUUAGGGUGAAU